AACCCUAAGUGGGUGGUAAACUCCAUCUAAGGCUAAAUAUGACCACGAGACCGAUAGCGAACAAGUACCGUGAGGGAAAGUUGAAAAGCACUUUGAAGAGAGAGUUCAAGAGUACGUGAAACCGUUUAGGGGUAAACCUGAGAAACCCGAAAGGUCGAAGGGAGAAAUUCAUCGCGUCUCGCUGUAGGCGUGGGACGAUCGAGCGACGGAACUGGGUACGCCUUUUUCCGCGCAGAUCGCCCUUACGAUCCGGCGGCGAACGCGUGCACUUUUUUCCUGGUAGGACGUCGCGAUCCGUUGGGCGUCGGUCUACGACACGCGGUGGAGCCCGUUCGCGCGCCUCGCGGCGUACGCUAACGGACCCGCGUGUAUUCCGGCCGACUCGCUCGACGGUAUUCGAAAGGUUUAAGGCCGCUCUCUCUCUGGAGGAGCGUUCGACCGGCGGCAAGCGCGCCGGACGUUUGUCGGCGAUCGGACCUAGCGCCGAUUCCGACCUCCGGUGACUGUUGGUCGCCGCGUUCUCGAACAGACAACUUACAAACCGAUCUGCGACGCUAUAGCUUUGGGUAAUUUCAG
rnacentral:rRNA from 1 species